CCUCUGGCCCCCAGGCUGCCACCCUCAAGUACCUCUAGAUAAAGGGUUCCAUUUCUCACAGGGGAAAACCUAAGACCCAGAGAUGAGUGGUAGGUAACAAGGCCUCUAGCCAUGAUUCCUUUCAGGAAUCAAUUCUUGUGGGAGACAAAGAUGAAAUUGGCUGGAUUUUCCGGGUUUUUCAUGGAGGGGCUCAUACCCUAAUAGACAUGGACCUAGCUUCAAAUCUCAGAUCUGGCCAUUUCCCAGCUAGAACCUGCAGAAUUCUUUAGCAUCUGGAAGCUGCUGUCUUUUUCUUUUCUUUUUUUUUAAGACGGGAUUUCACCAUAUUGGCCAGGCUGUUCUCAAACUCCUAACCUUGUGAUCCAUCUGCCUUGGCCUCCCAAACUGCUGGGAUUACAGGUGUGAGCCACCUUGCCUGGUCUGGAAGUUGUUUUCUCAUUUACAUAAUAUUGAGUUUUUUGUUCAGUCCAUCAUCAUCUGUUGAGCUCUUAUAAUAAGCCAAGUACUGAGCUGAGCAAUGAGGAUUCCGUGGUGAGCAAAACCAGGUAAGGAUUUGCACUCUUGGAAGGGAGGCAAAUGGUAAACAAAUAUUCACACAAGUAAAUGGAAGAGGCUGGGCGAGGGUACAACGGAGUAUGAUCUACCUGGGGGCCAGAGAAAGUUCCCUGAGGCAGUAGUACUUCAAUUUAGACUCCAAGGAUAAUAGGUUUUAAGUAACUGGGAGGAGAGAAUGUUCCAGGCAGAGGAGCACAGCUGAGGUGCCUGGAGUGAGGUGCAGCUGGAAAGGUUGGUGGGGCCAGACCAGGCAGGGCGGUGAAAGCCACCGAAAGGGAUUUCCAAGAGUGAUGAGGGAAUCUUGGAAUCCUGUUGGGCGUCCCCAAGAGGUAACUGUGGCUGGAUACACAGCUCAGGCCUGUAAGCCCAACACUGUGGGAAGCCGAAGCGGAAGGAUCAUUUGAGCUCAGGAGCUCAAGACCAGCCUGGGUAACAUAAUACCUCAUCGGCCAGGCGUGGUGGCUCACGCCUGUAAUCCCAGCACUUUGGGAGACUGAGGUGGGAGGAUCACAAGGUCAAGAGAUCAAGACCAUCUUGGCAAACAUGGUGAAACCCCGUCUCUACUAAAAAAAUACAAAAAUUGGCUGGGUGUGAUUGCACGCACCUGUAGUCCCAGCUACUUGGGAAGCUGAGGCAGGAGACUCGCUUAAACCCGGGAGGUGGAGGUUGCAGUGAGCCGGGAUUGUGCCACUGCACUCCAGCCUGGCAACAGAGUGAGACUCUGUCUCAAAAAAACAACAACAAACAAACAAACAAACAAAAAGCCUUAUCGAUACUAAAAAUAGAAUGAAAAAGAAAAAAGAGACAAUUUAAAGAGGAAUCUUGCUUUUCAAUCCGACAUCUGCGGUGGAGCUGCCACCAAAAUGCAGAUUUUCGUGAAAACCCUUAUGAGGAAGACCAUCACCCUCGAGUUUGAACCCUCGGAUACAACAGAAAAUGUAAAGGCCAAGAUCCAGGAUAAGGAAGGGAUUCCUCCUGAUCAGCAAAGACUGAACUUUCUCUGACUACAACAUUCACGAGGAGUCUACUCCUCAUCUUGUGUUGAGACUUAGUGGUGGUGCUAUACGAAAAGGAGUAAGUCUUACACCUCUCCCAAGAAGAAUAAGCAUGAGAGAAAGAAGGUUCAGCUGGCUGUCCUGAAAUAUUAUGAGGUGGAUGACAAUGCCAAAUUAGUCGCCUUGAUCAAGAGUGCCCUUCUGAUCAAUGUGGUGCUGGAGUGUUUAUGGUAAGCCACUUUGACUGACAUUAUUGUGGCAAAUGUUGUCUUACUGCUUCAACA